UUCGCCGCCGCGGCUCUGACAGCUGCGGCCCGGCCCCGCCCACCAGGCCCGCGCCCAAUCAGCUCCGGGCUCGGGCCACAGCCCCGCCCCGCACGUGCUGCCCUGGGGGUGGGGGGCCCGGGGACUGGGGGCCCGGGCGGCAGAGCCCCUCCUGCCAAUGGGGGCGCAGUCACGCCGGGGCCGCCCGGCCGCGAACGCCCGCGGGGAGCGGGAGAGGGUUUGCUCUGGCUACGGAGCUGGGAGCAGGGUGCUGGUGACCGGGCUCCCGGCACCUACUCAGUACCCUUCACCCAACCCCUGCCUCGGGCGUGGACUCCCGGCGGAGGCUCUGGGAGCCGGGCUGAGGGCUUGAGCCUAGCGUAUUUGGGAGAACUGGAGAGAGGAGUCUCAGAUGGCUAAAGUCAGGGGCGCCAGUUGGAGAGCCGGUGGCUCCUCCGAUACUCACACGCCCGGAUUUAACCAGUUCAGGGAGGGCCCAGAACCUAGACCUCCACCAGUCAUGGUGGGCUGUGUCGCCCACCUCCCCAGGGCAACCCAGAUCCAGCCCCCAACCUACCCCGAGCCCAUUCCUGUGUGGGCACCCGGACCCUACCCUUGCCCCACAGAGUGGCCCGCAGCCCCUGGCGGGGAGAGCCAGGGCUGUGAUUGGGGCCCAACAGAAACAGGAUAUUCAGAAGGGGCUUUCUCUCCUGAGGGACCACAUCUCCAAGCUUCAGACUUCCAGACAAGUCCCAGGGCACGGACGUGACCCAUUACGAACAGGCAGUGAAACUGUGGCAGGGCUGGAGCUGCCCCAGGCUCUCGCAUCAUCCCCGAGGGCUGGAGCUCACUCCCCGCUACAGGCUUUUCCGGACCCCACGUCCACAGGCAGGUGCAUCUGAUGAAGCUGUCGGGCACAGUUGGAGUGCAGUGGUGCCAUCUCCCUUCACGACGAACUCCACCUCGCAUCCCCAGGAUCAAGGGAUCCUCCCACCUCAGCCUCCCAGAGCUGGGACCACAGAUGCGUGCCACCACGCCCAGGUACAGCGCAGUCAGCAGGAAGCAGCCGCCCCCCAGGGCGAUGACAAAGGCGCAGCACAGGAAGCUCUGCUGCAGGCUGAGGAAACGCU